AUAGCCCUACGGGGCGCAGCAGUGGGGGAUAUUGGACAAUGGGGGGAACCCUGAUCCAGCGACGCCGCGUGAGUGAAGAAGUAUUUCGGUAUGUAAAGCUCUGUCAGCAGGGAAGAAAGCAAUGACGGUACCUGACUAAGAAGCCCCGGCUAACUACGUGCCAGCAGCCGCGGUAAUACGUAGGGGGCAAGCGUUAUCCGGAUUUACUGGGUGUAAAGGGAGCGUAGACGGCAGCGCAAGUCUGGAGUGAAAUGCCAGGGCCCAGCCCCGGAACUGCUCUGGAAACUGUGAAGCUGGAGUGCAGG
rnacentral:rRNA from 1 species